rnacentral:rRNA from 1 species
UGCCUUGUACAGGGGGAUAACAGUUGGAAACGGCUGCUAAUACCGCAUAAGCGCACGGCAUCGCAUGAUGCAGUGUGAAAAACUCCGGUGGUAUAAGAUGGACCCGCGUUGGAUUAGCUAGUUGGUGAGGUAACGGCCCACCAAGGCGACGAUCCAUAGCCGACCUGAGAGGGUGACCGGCCACAUUGGGACUGAGACACGGCCCAAACUCCUACGGGAGGCAGCAGUGGGGAAUAUUGCACAAUGGGCGAAAGCCUGAUGCAGCGACGCCGCGUGAGCGAAGAAGUAUUUCGGUAUGUAAAGCUCUAUCAGCAGGGAAGAUAAUGACGGUACCUGACUAAGAAGCACCGGCUAAAUACGUGCCAGCAGCCGCGGUAAUACGUAUGGUGCAAGCGUUAUCCGGAUUUACUGGGUGUAAAGGGAGCGCAGGCGGUGCGGCAAGUCUGAUGUGAAAGCCCGGGGCUCAACCCCGGUACUGCAUUGGAAACUGUCGUACUAGAGUGUCGGAGGGGUAAGCGGAAUUCCUAGUGUAGCGGUGAAAUGCGUAGAUAUUAGGAGGAACACCAGUGGCGAAGGCGGCUUACUGGACGAUAACUGACGCUGAGGCUCGAAAGCGUGGGGAGCAAACAGGAUUAGAUACCCUGGUAGUCCACGCCGUAAACGAUGAGUACUAGGUGUUGGGAAGCAUUGCUUCUCGGUGCCGUCG